GAUUGAACGCUGGCGGCAUGGCUAAAACAUGCAAGUCGAACGCGAAAGGGGAGCAAUCCCCGAGUAGAGUGGCGAAAGGGUGAGUAAUACGUUUCUACGUGCCUUGAGGUCGAGGAUAGCCAGGGGAAACUCUGGGUAAUACUCGAUGUGGUCGCAAGAUCAAAGAUUUAUUGCCAUGGGAGCGGGGAACGCCCUAUCAGGUAGUUGGUGAGGUAACGGCUCACCAAGCCUAAGACGGGUAGCGGGUGUGAGAGCAUGACCCGCCGCAUCGGGACUGAGACACUGCCCGGACUCCUACGGGAGGCUGCAGUAACGAAUAUUCCGCAAUGCGCGAAAGCGUGACGGAGCAAUGCCGCGUGCAGGAUGAAGCCUUUCGGGGUGUAAACUGCUGUCAGGGUACAGGAACACAAUGACCAUACCCAAAGGAAGGGCCGGCUAACUUCGUGCCAGCAGCCGCGGUAAUACGAAGGGCCCGAGCGUUAAUCGGAAUUACUGGGCUUAAAGCGUACGUAGGCGGAUGCGCAGGCAUCAUGUGAAAUCCCUCGGCUCAACCGAGGAACUGCAUGGUGAACCGCGUGUCUUGAGGCAAGUAGGGGCUGUCGGAACGCUAGGUGGAGUGGUGAAAUGCGUUGAUAUCUAGCGGAACGCCAAAGGAGUAAUCAGGCAGCUGGGCUUGUCCUGACGCUGAGGUACGAAAGCGUGGGGAGCGAACGGGAUUAGAUACCCCGGUAGUCCACGCCGUAAACGAUGUGCACUAGAUCGAGGAGGUUCUGACACCAUUCUCGGUCGAAGCGAAAGUGUUAAGUGCACCGCCUGGGGAGUACGGUCGCAAGGCUAAAACUCAAAGGAAUUGACGGGGGCUCACACAAGCGGUGGAGCAUGUGGCUUAAUUCGAAGCAACGCGAAGAACCUUAUCCUGGGUUUGACAUGCAUGGAUUAACCGGUGGAAACAUCGGUUACAGCCCUUGGGUGGAACAUACACAGGUGCUGCAUGGCCGUCGUCAGCUCGUGCUGUGAAGUGUCGGGUUAAGUCCCUUAACGAGCGCAACCCCUGUCGUUAGUUGCUAACAAGUUAUGUUGAGUACUCUAGCGAGACUGCCGGUGUCAAACCGGAGGAAGGUGGGGAUGACGUCAGGUCCUCAUGGCCCUUAUGCCUAGGGCUGCAAACGUGCUACAAUGGCACGGACAGAGCGAGGCGAUCCCGCAAGGGGGAGCAAAUCGCAAAAACCGUGCCCCAGUUCGGAUAGCAGGCUGCAAUUCGCCUGCUUGAAGUUGGAUCGCUAGUAAUCGCGGAUCAGCUACGCCGCGGUGAAUAUGUUCCUGAGC
rnacentral:rRNA from 1 species